GAUGAACGCUAGCUACAGGCUUAACACAUGCAAGUCGAGGGGCAGCACGAGGUAGCAAUACUUUGGUGGCGACCGGCGCACGGGUGCGUAACGCGUAUGCAACCUACCUUUAACAGGGGCAUAACACUGAGAAAUUGGUACUAAUUCCCCAUAACAUUCGAGAAGGCAUCUUCUUGGGUUAAAAACUCCGGUGGUUAAAGAUGGGCAUGCGUUGUAUUAGCUAGUUGGUGAGGUAACGGCUCACCAAGGCAACGAUACAUAGGGGGACUGAGAGGUUAACCCCCCACAUUGGUACUGAGACACGGACCAAACUCCUACGGGAGGCAGCAGUGAGGAAUAUUGGUCAAUGGACGCAAGUCCGAACCAGCCAUGCCGCGUGCAGGAAGACGGCUCUAUGAGUUGUAAACUGCUUUUGUACUAGGGUAAACGCUUCUACGUGUAGGAGCCUGAAGAAUAAGCACCGGCUAACUACGUG
rnacentral:rRNA from 1 species